CGAGGUGGGAGUUUACUGAGGUGAGGUAUGUUUUAUCUUUGCGAAUGUUGCGGGUUUUUGGUCCCUCCAGCCUUUGUCUGCUAAGAUCACCCUGAACUGACUGGGACUUCUAAGCCAGUCGCGCGCCUUUGCAGGGCCUAUAAGUUGAGGAUGGUGGGGGAUUGCACAUAUGGUGCAUGCGUGACCUAAGCUGCGAUUAUGUUGUUCGAGUAGAACUGCGGAGAAGCCUCGGCUCUCGUGCCCUGCCUCUGAUGAAGCCUGUGUUGGUAGGGACAUCUGAGAGUGAUGAUGAAUGCCAACCGCUCUGAUGGUGGCACAUGCCGAGUCAACCGAGUAAGCUAUUGUUAAGGGCCGUGACCCGAGCCUCCAUCAGCCGCCCGCUCUCAUGAAAGGCUGUCGGUGGUAGUCCACGUGCUUCUCUUAAGUGCCUGCAUUCCGCAGUGUCACCAAUAUUUCCAUUAGUGUUUCUUUUGUCUUUUUUUUAAGACCGAGCCUCGUUCUGUCACCCAGGCUGGAAUGCAGUGGCUCGAUCUCGGUUAACGGCAACCUCCGCGUCCCGAGUUAAGCAAUUCUGCUUCAGCCUCCCAAGUAACUGGGACUACAGGCGCGCGCCACCACGCUAGGCUUUUGUAUUUUUAGUAGAGACGGGGUUUCGCCAUGUUGGCCAUACUGGUCUUGCACUCCUGACCUCUGGUGAUCCACCAGCCGUGGUCUCCCAAAGUACUGGGAUUACAAGCCGUGAGCCACCGUGCCCGGCCGCCAUUGGUGAUUCUUAACUGCGGGUGCAGUGCUCUUUUGUAACAUUAAGUGUAUCCUUUACUUGUCGCUAGAUAAUGAAUGGUAUGUUACCUACAUCAUUGGUUUUAAAAGACGACAUAAAGAACCGUGGAACAAUGAAUUAAAAUCUGUACCCGAUCUCUUUAGGUAUGGUGCUGGGUGCAUAUGCAAUGUGGCUCUGGAUAGCACCUUAUGGACAGUUGUGUCCCAAAGGAAGGAUGAGAAUAGCUACUGAAGUCCUAAAGAGCAAGCCUAACUCAAGCCAUUGGCACACCGGCAUUAGACAGAAAACUGGAAGUUGAAAUGGUGGAGUCCAACUUGUCUGGACCAGCUUAAUGGUUCUGCUCCUGGUAACGUUUUUAUCCACGGAUGGCUUGCUUGGGUAUGGAGAGUCGGCUUGACUACACUGUGUGGAGCAAGUUUUAAAGAAGCAAAGGUAUAGCAGUCCCAAGUUUUUUUUUUUUUUUUUUUUUUGAGACAAGAGCCUAGCUCUUACGCAGAAUGGAGUGCACCGGCACUAUCAGCUCACUGCAACCUAUGCCUCCCGGGUUCAAGGAAUUCUCCUGCCUCAGCCUCCUAAGUAGCUGGGAUUACAGGCAUGUGACACCAUGCCUGGCUGAUUUUUGUACAGCUAUGUUGUCCAGGCUGGUCUCAAACUCUUGACCUCAAGUGAUCUGGCGACACUGACCUCCCAAAGUGCUGGGAUUACAGGUGUGAGCCACUGCGCCCCGCCUCAAGUCUGGUUUUUAAGUGUUGUAAAGCCGAUACAAUGAUGAUAACAUAGUUCAGCAGACUAACACUGAUGAGCAAUAUUAAGUCUUUCGCUCCUAUCUGAUGUAUCUGGCGGUAACAUUCUAGUUUAUGCCCUGAAAAGGGGAAUAUAGCCAUUCUAUAACGUUUGGAGAUUUUGGAUUACUCCUAAUUGUAUGCAAGUUGUCUUACUGUGUAUUGUCCCUUAAUUUCAGGACUCAGAAUUCAUGCUUGAAGAAAUGCAGGUUAGUUUAAACUUUUAAGGAAAUUUUUAAGGUGGCAAAAGGUUUUGGUGACAUAUACAGCUUAAUCUGUAGAUGGGAGUGAUUAGCUGUUUAAAAGUUAAAAUGUGACUGAGAAGGAAAUUGAGUAGGGCAAAUUUUAAAUGGGUAUUAUUUUUCAUCUUCAAACAGGCAGACCUGUUAUCCUAAACUAGGGUUUUUAAUGACCACGACAAGCAAGCAUGCAGCUUACUGCUUGAAAGGGUCUUGCCUCACCCAAGCUGGAGUGCAGUGGCCUCUGAAGCUUACUACAGCCUCAAACUUCUGGGCUCAAGUGAUCCUCAGCCUCCCAAUGGUCUUUGUAGACUGCCUGAUGGAGUCUCAUGGCACAAGAAGAUUAAAACAAUGCUCCAAUUUUAAUAAAUUUUUGCAAUCCA